rnacentral:rRNA from 1 species
UACGGAAGGCAGCAGUGGGGAAUAUUGCACAAUGGGCGCAAGCCUGAUGCAGCCAUGCCGCGUGUAUGAAGAAGGCCUUCGGGUUGUAAAGUACUUUCAGUCGUGAGGAAGGUGUUAAGGUUAAUAACCUUAGCAAUUGACGUUAGCGACAGAAGAAGCACCGGCUAACUCCGUGCCAGCAGCCGCGGUAAUACGGAGGGUGCGAGCGUUAAUCGGAAUUACUGGGCGUAAAGGGCACGCAGGCGGUUAAUUAAGUUGGAUGUGAAAUCCCCGGGCUUAACCUGGGAAUGGCAUUCAAGACUGGUUAGCUAGAGUCUUGUAGAGGGGGUUAGAAUUCCAUGUGUAGCGGUGAAAUGCGUAGAGAUGUGGAGGAAUACCGGUGGCGAAGGCGGCCCCUGGGACAAAGGACUGACGCUCAUGUGCGAAAGCGUGGGGAGCAAACAGGGAUUAGAUACCCGU